ensembl:lncRNA
AGUAAACAUGAAGGAUGCACUGGUGAGAGCAGUGACUUCCCUCAUUCUCUUUCUCUCUUUAUGUGCCACCUUUCUCCAGGGUGACAGGUGGAUGUGUCCUUGCUGGAGCUCUCUGGUUCACACUCCGCUGGUCUGGAUCACCAAGCUCCUGUGUCACCUACCUCUGACAUCAGCCCAUAAAUGGCCAUGUGUGCGCCCUGUGGCCUGGAGACACCAGCAGCUUUUUGAGCAAACUGCCCUCAUUGACUGAGGCUUUCUUUGAUGCUCAUGAGAUCAAUAUGUUGCACUGUCAUUUAAAGGAGAAUAUUUACUUUGGAGUUGAAAAGGUUUUCUACAAGAAACACAGUAAUUUUCUUUUGAAGUAAGUUGUCUUUCCUCCUGCCUUGUUCUGUGCUAUUUUCCUGUAUAUUUCUGUUGCAAGGAAAAUUUUUAAUAUGAGCUUUUAAAGACACAUGGGAUGUUUUUCUAUUACAGCUGAAACUGUUCAUUAAAUGGAUAGAAAUAUCAGAGAUAUUUUUCAGUAGUUGUUUC